rnacentral:rRNA from 1 species
UUGGAGGGCAAGUCUGGUGCCAGCAGCCGCGGUAAUUCCAGCUCCAAUAGCGUAUAUUAAAGUUGUUGCAGUUAAAAAGCUCGUAGUUGAAUUUCGGGGUUAGCAGGUCGGUCGUGCCAUCGGUAUGAACUGGUCUCGCUGAUCCCUCCCUCUUGAAGAACUGUGAUGCCAUUAAUUUGGUGUCGCAGGGAAUCAGGACUGUUACUUUGAAAAAAUUAGAGUGUUUAAAGCAGGCUCACGCUUGAAUACAUUAGCAUGGAAUAAUGAAAUAGGACGUUUGAUCCUAUUUUGUUGGUUUCUAGGAUUGACGUAAUGAUUAAUAGGGAUAGUUGGGGGCAUUAGUAUUCAAUUGUCAGAGGUGAAAUUCUUGGAUUUAUUGAAGACUAACUACUGCGAAAGCAUUUGCCAAGGAUGUUUUCAUUAAUCAAGAACGAAAGUUAGGGGAUCGGAGACGAUCAGAUACCGUCGUAGUCUUAACCAUAAACUAUGCCGACUAGGGAUCGGAUGAUGUUAAUUUUUUAAUGACUCAUUCGGCGCCUUACGGGAAAC